rnacentral:lncRNA from 1 species
ACAGUAGGUGUUAGCUGCGGCCCUUAUGGCAGAUGGUGCGGACGACAAGGACACCAAAGUCCCCGCGCAUUCGUAAAGAACGGCAGCAGAGGGGGCAUUCACUAAUUGUAUGAUGAUCUUAAUGUACUUACCCUUCUCGUUUCGAUUCGUUCUGCAAACCUUUCGAAUCAAUUCAAGCAGUAUCAUCUGCAGCUGCUCUCCCCAGUCAGUAAUUUUCUCGAGAUUAGCGAAAAGGUAACUAACGGCGCGAUCCUGAGCACAAGUGAAUAGCAUGAGGAAGGCAUUACGCUUGCUCGAAGGGUCCUGCUCAGAAGAGAGGACCUUCUCGAUGAUUUCCGGAGCCGAAUCGAGCAGCUGCUCACCUUGAGGAAGCUUGUAAAGGGACAUUACAGCGAGAAUGGCGUUCCUGCGAACGAAGGGAUGACGAUGCUCGAGGUUGGUUAAUAUGGAAGGAAUCAAAGGCUCAAUGAUCUCAGUCUCCUUGAGACGGCAGAGGAACCGCAAGGUAACGCCCCGGAUGUAUUCGUUUGGAUGCUGCAGAUUAUUCCGCAGGUUCUGGCAGAUUAAGAUCAUCUCCGGAAGAACUUUGCCCCGGGAAUCAGUCUUGUCGAUAAUCUCGAGAUAGAUCAGGAGAAGCUUUUGGAUCGUGUGAUCCUCGCUAGGGAG